GAAGGAAUAAGUAGUGGAAAGGUAAGAAUGAAGAGGAGAGUACAAAAGAGGAAAAUUGGUACUUUAUUCAAGAAAAGUAUGGUUCAACUCACAACUGCUUCCCAUGUCACUCUCUGACACUCAUUCUGUAGACUGAUCUACCCUUUCCUUUGAUUUCAUCUUCUUUUCUUAUUGAAAAGACUGGCAUGUGAGACAGAAUAGGAGAUUUCAGAGAAGUAUUGGCCUUUGGCUUUUUGCCUUUGUCCAUCUGCCUCAUCACUUCAUCAUAAAAGAAAAUUAAAUUGACCUACCACAACUUUCUCUUCAGUAAAGUACUCUUGUUGAUUUCUAGCAACUCAUGAUUUUCUCUUAUGGGUGAAAAGAUUUUGGGGGUUUAUUUGUUUGAUUUUUUAUGAGUAGUUCUAAAAUGUUACUGAAUAUUGAUAUUGAACCAUAAAUUACCAUGGUGGUCCUGACACAUGAAAAAACUCAAAACUAUUUAAAUAUUGUCUUUUCUAUCCUCAGGAUUUUCUCUUGUCUUUUAUGACUAUUAAGAAAGAAUAGGUAAAAUAUAAAGUGGCCUCUUCCAAUUGAAAGACCUAAUUACCCAAGUUGUAUGCCUUUAAAAUUCAGCAAUCUAAAUGCACACAAUUUAAAAAAUAUUUUUAAAUGUAUGCUAUUCUAUAAGGAAUGGUAUCCUGCUCUUCCUAAUGGAGAAAACAUUGUCUUACAAUAGUUUUCAUAACUUAUUUUCAUUUUUCUUUAAUUUGUUGACCUAUUUUUAUUUACCCUUAGCCCCUAACAUCUCAGUACCUAAUGAGCUUAAGUAGAAAAAGCACUAAAGACAACAAAGAAGUGAAAGCUUGGUCCAAAUGUCUAUAGAGGAAACCCCUACUGGAGUUGACAAAACUAAGAAGGAUCUCAGGAUUUCAAAGGAAGGAACAAAAAUGGUUAAGAAGGCAUUGAAAUCAAAGACACAAGAGGAGAAGGAUAAUAUUGGUGCCCAAGUUUGGAAGAGACCAAAACUCACAGAUGAGGGUUAAGUAGCUAAGGCUUGGAAUGUUAAAAGGAUAAAGCCAAUCAAGUCACUACAACUCAAGUCUCUGGGCUUUUAGAAAUAAUGGUCACCUGCUUCUAACUUCUUCAAAUAUACCUUAUUCUCUUUUCUCUUUCCUUAAUCCACAAUACCUCCCUUGUACCCCCCUUUUCCCUGGUAUCAGUUUCAUUCAACAGUUUUCUCUAAUUAUUAACCAAUAUUAAUUAAACCAGGAUGCGAAAAGAUUAUUGGAUUUUUAUUAGGCAAGAAGCUUCAGUUUAAUACAUGGUUAUGAUAUAAUCUGUGUCACUAAAGAGCAAGCUCCUUCAUUUCUUUAUAUGUCAGUUUCCUCACAUUUAAUAUGAGAGUGAACAUUUCAUUUGUCAACUCUGUAAGAUUGUAAGGAACAAAAGAGUACCUAUUAUGCAUUGAUAAAAAG
rnacentral:lncRNA from 1 species